UACGAAGGGGGCUAGCGUUGCUCGGAAUUACUGGGCGUAAAGCGCACGUAGGCGGUUUCUUAAGUCGGUGGUGAAAUCCUGGAGCUCAACUCCAGAACUGCCUUCGAUACUGGGAAACUUGAGUUCGGGAGAGGUGAGUGGAACUGCGAGUGUAGAGGUGAAAUUCGUAGAUAUUGGGAAGAACACCGGUGGCGAAGGCGGCUCACUGGCUCGUUACUGACGCUCAGGCACGACAGCGUGGGGAUCAAACAGG
rnacentral:rRNA from 1 species